rnacentral:tRNA from 1 species
UCUUAGAUGACUGAGAAUAUAAGUGUUAGAUUUUUAAUCUAAAAACGGCAAAAUGUGCCUCUAAGAG